rnacentral:lncRNA from 1 species
GUUCAGGAAAAUAUCUUGUUUUGUUCUCAACAUAAAAAAGAAACUCAUAAAGGUUUUGAACAAUUCGAGGAAGAAUAAAUGGUAAGCAUUUUUAUUUAUAUAUUGAUUUGUGUGUACUAUCCCUUUAAGAACAGCGAACCGGAGCUAACAUCUCGUUUGUAGCCUACUCGCUCUCGGCAGUAGGCGAUUUCGGACGCAUCAUUCUUACAUAACACGUAAAAAUGCCGCUGAAGUGACUUUUAUGGCAGGAGAUGAUGUUCAUGUGUUUACUUCUUCAUAUAUCAAGAUGACGGACUGGAAACACCACAAGCGAGAAUUCAUUUUCGGAGAUUGGGUCAGAUAUUCAUAUGCUCUGUGUAGAGGAUUUACUGUCUGGAUUGGACCGUGAUAACAGACAGCAAAUUUUUGAGUUAGGUUUCAGCCAUGGAUUCAGCCCCAGUGGAUUAUGGGAUUGCAUGUUUUGCUUCAGUUUUUCAUCAUUUCUGUCUCCCACCUCUAAACCGUCUCCUGGUCUCCACCAGCAGUGAAUGCCAAUCAGAUGUUUGAGUUGAGUUGUUUUUUGGUUGUUUUUUAAUUACCAGUAUAAAAUGAGUUCUCUUUUUUUGUUUCAGUUUUGUCAUUUUAGUCGCCUCCUUUAACUUAUUUCAUUGAGAUAAUAUUUAACAAUUCGAUAGG